GAUGAACGCUGGCGGCGUGCCUAAUACAUGCAAGUCGAGCGAAUGGAUUAAGAGCUUGCUCUUAUGAAGUUAGCGGCGGACGGGUGAGUAACACGUGGGUAACCUGCCCAUAGGACUGGGAUAACUCCGGGAAACCGGGGCUAAUACCGGCUAACAUUUUGAACCGCAUGGUUCGAAAUUGAUAGGCGGCUUCGGCUGUCUCUUAUGGAUGGACCCGGGUCGCAUUAGCUAGUUGGUGAGGUAACGGCUCACCAAGGCAACGAUGCGUAGCCGACCUGAGAGGGGGAUCGGCCACACUGGGACUGGGACACAGCCCAGACUCCUACGGGAGGCAGCAGUAGGGAAUCUUCCGCAAUGGACGAAAGUCUGACGGAGCAACGCCGCGGGAGUGAUGAAGGCUUUCGGGUCGUAAAACUCUGUUGUUAGGGAAGAACAAGUGCUAGUUGAAUAAGCUGGCACCUUGACGGUACCUAACCAGAAAGCCACGGCUAACUACGUGCCAGCCGCCGCUGUAA
rnacentral:rRNA from 1 species